rnacentral:tRNA from 1 species
UCCCUGAUAGCUCAGUUGGUGAAGAAUCUGCCUGCAAUGCAGGAGACCCCAGUUCAAUUUCUGGGUCAGGAAG